rnacentral:rRNA from 1 species
GACGAACGCUGGCGGCGUGCUUAACACAUGCAAGUCGAACGCUGAAGACCUGGCUUUUGUUGGGUUGGAUGAGUGGCGAACGGGUGAGUAACACGUGAGUAACCUGCCCUCUUCUUUGGGAUAACGCCCGGAAACGGGUGCUAAUACUGGAUAUUCACUGAUCUUCGCAUGGGGGUGGGUGGAAAGGUUUGUUCUGGUGGGGGAUGGGCUCGCGGCCUAUCAGCUUGUUGGUGGGGUGAUGGCCUACCAAGGCUUUGACGGGUAGCCGGCCUGAGAGGGUGACCGGUCACAUUGGGACUGAGAUACGGCCCAGACUCCUACGGGAGGCAGCAGUGGGGAAGAUAGCACAAUGGGCGAAAGCCUGAAGCAGCGACGCCGCGUGAGGGAUGGAGGCCUUCGGGUUGGAAACCUCUUUCGCUCAUGGUCAAGCCGCAACUGUGGGUUGUGGUGAGGGUAGUGGGUAAAGAAGCGCCGGCUAACUACGUG